rnacentral:rRNA from 1 species
GAUGAACGCUGGCGGCGUGCUUAACACAUGCAAGUCGAACGGUGAAGCCAAGCUUGCUUGGUGGAUCAGUGGCGAACGGGUGAGUAACACGUGAGCAACCUGCCCUGGACUCUGGGAUAAGCGCUGGAAACGGCGUCUAAUACUGGAUAUGAGCUCUCAUCGCAUGGUGGGGGUUGGAAAGAUUUUUCGGUCUGGGAUGGGCUCGCGGCCUAUCAGCUUGUUGGUGAGGUAAUGGCUCACCAAGGCGUCGACGGGUAGCCGGCCUGAGAGGGUGACCGGCCACACUGGGACUGAGACACGGCCCAGACUCCUACGGGAGGCAGCAGUGGGGAAUAUUGCACAAUGGGCGGAAGCCUGAUGCAGCAACGCCGCGUGAGGGAUGACGGCCUUCGGGUUGUAAACCUCUUUUAGCAGGGAAGAAGCGAGAGUGACGGUACCUGCAGAAAAAGCGCCGGCUAACUACGUGCCAGCAGCCGCGGUAAUACGUAGGGCGCAAGCGUUAUCCGGAAUUAUUGGGCGUAAAGAGCUCGUAGGCGGUUUGUCGCGUCUGCUGUGAAAUCCCGAGGCUCAACCUCGGGCCUGCAGUGGGUACGGGCAGACUAGAGUGCGGUAGGGGAGAUUGGAAUUCCUGGUGUAGCGGUGGAAUGCGCAGAUAUCAGGAGGAACACCGAUGGCGAAGGCAGAUCUCUGGGCCGUAACUGACGCUGAGGAGCGAAAGGGUGGGGAGCAAACAGGCUUAGAUACCCUGGUAGUCCACCCCGUAAACGUUGGGAACUAGUUGUGGGGACCAUUCCACGGUUUCCGUGACGCAGCUAACGCAUUAAGUUCCCCGCCUGGGGAGUACGGCCGCAAGGCUAAAACUCAAAGGAAUUGACGGGGACCCGCACAAGCGGCGGAGCAUGCGGAUUAAUUCGAUGCAACGCGAAGAACCUUACCAAGGCUUGACAUACACCAGAACACCGUAGAAAUACGGGACUCUUUGGACACUGGUGAACAGGUGGUGCAUGGUUGUCGUCAGCUCGUGUCGUGAGAUGUUGGGUUAAGUCCCGCAACGAGCGCAACCCUCGUUCUAUGUUGCCAGCACGUAAUGGUGGGAACUCAUGGGAUACUGCCGGGGUCAACUCGGAGGGAGGUGGGGAUGACGUCAAAUCAUCAUGCCCCUUAUGUCUUGGGCUUCACGCAUGCUACAAUGGCCGGUACAAAGGGCUGCAAUACCGUGAGGUGGAGCGAAUCCCAAAAAGCCGGUCCCAGUUCGGAUUGAGGUCUGCAACUCGACCUCAUGAAGUCGGAGUCGCUAGUAAUCGCAGAUCAGCAACGCUGCGGUGAAUACGUUCCCGGGUC